rnacentral:rRNA from 1 species
CUGUUAAGGGUUACUGCGGAAGGAUCAUUAAUUAUGUUAAAGCGCCUUACCUUAGGGUUUCCUCUGGGGUAAGUGAUUGCUUCUACACUGUGAAAAUUUGGCUGAGAGACUCAGACUGGUCAUGGGUAGACCUAUCUGGGGUUUGAUCGAUGCCACUCCUGGUUUCAGGAGUACCCUUCAUAAUAAACCUAGAAAUUCAGUAUUAUAAAGUUUAAUAAAAAACAACUUUUAACAAUGGAUCUCUUGGUUCUCGCAUCGAUGAAGAACGUAGCAAAGUGCGAUAACUAGUGUGAAUUGCAUAUUCAGUGAAUCAUCGAGUCUUUGAACGCAGCUUGCACUCUAUGGUUUUUCUAUAGAGUACGCCUGCUUCAGUAUCAUCACAAACCCACACAUAACAUUUGUUUAUGUGGUGAUGGGUCGCAUCGCUGUUUUAUUACAGUGAGCACCUAAAAUGUGUGUGAUUUUCUGUCUGGCUUGCUAGGCAGGAAUAUUACGCUGGUCUCAGGAUCUUUUUUUUUGGUUCGCCCAGGAAGUAAAGUACAAGAGUAUAAUCCAGUAACUUUCAAACUAUGAUCUGAAGUCAGGUGGGAUUACCCGCUGAACUUAAGCAUAUCAAAAGCCGGAGGGAA